rnacentral:tRNA from 1 species
UCCUUGGUGGUCCAAUGGUUAAGACUUUGCAUUUCCAAUGCAGGGGGCACAGGUUCAAUCCCUGGUCAGGGAA